rnacentral:rRNA from 1 species
AACGAACGCUGGCGGCAUGCCUAACACAUGCAAGUCGAACGAGACCUUCGGGUCUAGUGGCGCACGGGUGCGUAACGCGUGGGAACCUGCCCUUAGGUUCGGAAUAACUCCCCGAAAGGGGUGCUAAUACCGGAUAAUGUCUUCGGACCAAAGAUUUAUCGCCUUUGGAUGGGCCCGCGUUGGAUUAGCUAGUUGGUAGGGUAAAAGCCUACCAAGGCGACGAUCCAUAGCUGGUCUGAGAGGAUGAUCAGCCACACUGGGACUGAGACACGGCCCAGACUCCUACGGGAGGGAGCAGUGGGGAAUAUUGGACAAUGGGCGAAAGCCUGAUACAGCAAUGCCGGGUGAGUGAUGAAGGCCUUAGGGUUGUAAAGCUCUUUUACCCGGGAUGAUAAUGACAGUACCGGGAGAAUAAGCUCCGGCUAACUCCGUG